AUCAAUAUAGUGAAAAAACACAAUAAAUUUAAAACUUAUAUACGUAGACAACAACUCUACUAUUGAUA
rnacentral:tRNA from 1 species